rnacentral:lncRNA from 1 species
CUUCUUUUCAUUAUUUUUUUGUAUAGUUAUGAAUCUGAAGCUUUACCAAUUCAGCUAUUGGUUUGGCAAAAAUGAAUAAUGUAAAAAUUGAAGGUAUGAAAUCUGGGUUAAUGUUUUAUUAUUGUUAUUAUUUCGUUAUUGAUUUUUGGUUUGGGGGUGGACAAAAAGUAAUUAUACUGUUUCAAAGAAUUUGAGUUUGGAUUGAAUGUGAAGUUUGUAUUUAUGGCCGAAAAUUACUUUACUCCUCUUUGUUUUUGGUAAAAUGAAUAGUCACUCUUUGAUUAGUUUAAAUUAUAAAGUACAUGUUGACAAAUAAGUAAAUGAAAAUGAAAAAGAAAGAGAAUUUUUGAAUGGAUGGACCCGUUUUAACGCGUAGAAUUAUUAUUUGACAAAAUAUUUGAGUAAACUUGCGUACCAGUUCGUAAAGAUUAGCAUGUUCAACAUAUAUAGUCUCUACUAAAAUGUAAAAUAAAAUAUGUAUCAAGACGUGUCAGCGUGCUGUGCCGAAUAAAUAGCAGAUCCUAAUUUCUGAAUAUAUAUAUAUAUAUAUAUAUAUAACUAGGCUACUAUACUAUCAGUAGCACGGAGCGCUCCGUGCUACCAAAUUGUUUUCGAUGAUGCAGCUUCCAAAUCAACGAUCGGCUCCGUUAGACUUGAUCUACACUAUUGAAAGCAUUUAGAAACUAAAUUUCAUAAUUUUUCGAUAUCAUUUACCUAUCAAACAAGUAGUCUAAAAUUGAACGGCUGAAAAUAAAAAUCUCAUGAAAAAUGAUGAUAAAAUAUUUAAAUUCAAGAUCAGAUAUACUGAUCUUACUCUAAAUAGUGAAAAGAAUUUUUUAUAAAAUUUUCAUUGCAUUUGGAUUGUUUUACACCGUUAAACUCAUAAACACACCACAUCGGCCCUUAAAAUUGUCAAUUUUGAGAUCUUUUGAUCACUAGUCAAAUGAUGUCU